CAGUAUGAUAUUAAAAUAGUUUCAUUGCUAGCAUUACCCAGUGGCCAGAUCAGUUUCUAUUGAACGAGUACAAAAAAUGUUUUACAUAAAUGUUAGAGGCAUGCUUUAAAAUUAAACACUCAUUGCACUUUGAAGUUAUUUAUUACAUGUUCUUACAAUCUAAUGUAUUUUUAAAGUAUGAUACUUUGUAAAACACUGUGUAAUGUGAAGUGAGAAUUCUCGUGAUCCAUCC